AGAGUUUGAUUAUGGCUCAGAACGACGCUGGCGGCAUGGAUUAGGCAUGCAAGUCGAACGAAGUAGCAAUACUUAGUGGCGCAAGGGUGAGGAACGCGUGAGUGACCUACCGCAAGUUUGGAACAGCUCCUGGAAACGGGAAUUAAUACCGGAUGUGAUCAACGGGCUGCAUGGUUUGUUGAUUAAAGCAGUAAUGCGCUUGCGGAUGGGCUCGCGUCCCAUUAGCUAGUUGGUGAGGUAACGGCCCACCAAGGCCAUGAUGGGUAGCUGGUCUGAGAGGACGACCAGCCACACUGGGACUGAGAACUGCCCAGACUCCUACGGGAGGCUGCAGUCGAGAAUUUUGGGCAAUGGACGAAAGUCUGACCCAAGCAAUGCCGCGUGCGGGAUGAAGGUCUUCGGAUUGUAAACCGCUGUUUGGAGGGACGAAAAUUGACGGUACUUCCAGAGAAAGCCACGGCUAACUACGUGCCAGCAGCAGC
rnacentral:rRNA from 1 species